rnacentral:lncRNA from 1 species
CGGCGCCCCUACACCAUGAACAUGAUCGAGAGCAUCAUGCACGAGAUACACUUUGCCGUCGAUCCAAAUCUUACCUCCAAGGAGCAGGUAGCUGCCUGCUCUCUGCUCUCGAUAUGUACUACCCUUAGUGUGUGUGUGCGUGUGUGUGUGUCUAUAUAUAUAAUGGAGGAUCACGAUUUGUUUAGCAUCCGUCAUUUUCAUUCAUCACCUGCAGUGCAUUUUCUUCAAGGAAAUGUUGCUUUAGGCCAAAUUAUUGUACACAUUACAAACAGCCCACCUUCUGAUUCCUGUAUUACAGGAGUAUUAGGAAGUUGCCAUGCUAGCUUAGAAUAUUUUGCUUGAAGUGAUGAUAUCUUACUGUACGCAAUCUAAUUAUCUGCAUUGGUCCCAAUUGGAAGAAAUUGAGUAUUGAUGUCAUGUACAAGUCCUUGCCAAGACAGCAACUUCAGUCGCAAGUAUGUGCAUAUGAAUAAUCUUUCCGGAGAUAUUCAUUCAUAUUACAUACUCCCUCCGUCCGGAAAAACUUGUAAUAUGAAUAAUCUUUCUGGAGAUAUUCACUCAUAUUCCACACUGUAGAUGCUAUUCUGUUUGUUAUGCACCUGGCAUUGUCUAUCAGUUUUGUCGGAUCUGUCUUUGUUUUUCUUUUCAACCGAUGGCCAUUGUUUGGGCUACCCUAGUUAACCUCUUUUUGGAUGGAGUCACUCAAUGCCAGUACCUUGCACUGCCAUAAUGUGAUAAAAAUACUCAAGGAAUUAGGAAUUCUUUGUGACAGUACUGAUGGUACCUGUGUUUAUGCUUUUACCUUGGUUAUUAUUACCUGCGCUUGGGACAAUGUGACGGAGGUCGUAAUAUACUAAUAUUGUUAUAGUACAUCUGUGUAGACUUGUUAUCUACUCCCGUUUCCUUUUUUAAUUUGUAUCUUCAUCCAUAUUUCAGGCACUGAAAGUUAUUAAGAAGCUAAUUGAGAACCCUAAAUACCGUAUAAAGCGUGCACCAUUGACAGUGCGAUUCAUUGCACCUAAGUCCAAUCUUUCUGGCCUUAUGGAGAAGCUUGAUGGGUGGAAUGCAAUUGUUCUUUCAAAGGAUGAAUCUGCCGAUCAGUCUUCCAUUGUAAGUCUUUUAGAUUAUCUUUUCCAAGCUGUUAAUGUGUUGCCUGAUUAUGAUUUCUAUCAUGUGAGUUCCCCCAUUGAACUUGUGUUUCGUAAGUUAUAAUAGGAUGCUGUACUCAUUCUGGUCCCCCCAAAAAUGCUAUACAGCUGGUGAAUGGUUUAUGCUAUCAUUUAGUGGGAGUUCUAUUACUGAGAAGCUUGCCCGUUUUCUCCUUUUGUACCUUUCAGUCACAAUGAUCUCAACAUUCAAGUCUACUUAGGCUGCUUUGUGUUCCUCUCCUUUGUGACACUGAUGCAAUUAUUGUCCAAAUUCAUGAUAUCUUCAUGUCAUGUUUCACCCUAUUAGUUGGUGUACUAUACUUAAUUCCGAAUAACAUAUUGCAGGUAUGUGAGAUUGAACCAUCUGUUCUGCACUCGUGUGAAGAGAAACUGAAGGACGUGCAAGGGAGGGUGGAAGUACUCUCGGUGUCGGCACACAAAGAAAGUGGCUCUUCUACAGAUCAAUAUGACAAUGUCGAGGACAAUGUGGAGAAGGCACAGCCCGUGCCUGCGAAGGAGUCUGGUGCUGUUGCUCAGCUAAGUGAGACCAUGCAGAAACAGAGCCUUUCGAGUGAAGUGGAAAGCCAGGGCCAGGCACCAGGCAAGCCGCAGAAAAGAUGCAAAGAAUGUGACAUAUUCAUGGAGGACAAGCUGUACAGAGACCACUGCAAGUCCGGGUGGCACAAGCACAACUACACACGCCACAAGAAUGGGCUUCCUCCGCUCAGCCAGGAGGAGUGCUUAAUGGAAAUGGAGAUGGCAGAUUCCCAGAGGGGUCUGAAGGACUACGAUUUCUGAGGUGGGUUUUGUCUAGAACUCCCUGUCACCAUGCCUUUGAGGCCGAGAAAUGGCAUGCACAGGCCAUGAAUUUUGCAGCCUUGUUGUUUCCGUGGACAUGGUCAUCAUUUGGUAAAUGCUGGUAUGAAGUGGGGAACGAGUUUUGCGAGACGCUAGCAAGUUUAUAAAAUGUAAUCGGGUUACAUCGUGUGAAUGUGAACUGUGAAGGUAGUAGAACCUGGCUCAUGUGUAUUUGGCUGAGUAAACCUGUGGCAGCUCUGAUGUUUGCGGCAUGAACUGUAACGUGAUGCUAUAUGGUACGGUCUUGAGUACGCGCCUGUUAUGGAGGUGAACCAACUUAAUGCAACAUAUGUAUAUCGAUUUUGCAACUUGAUGUUGCUUGGGUACUGAUAUAUGAAUUCCGGGGUUGUUGUUU